rnacentral:rRNA from 1 species
AUUGAACGCCGGCGGCAGGCUUAACACAUGCAAGUCGAGCGGGGGAAGGUAGCUUGCUACCGGACCUAGCGGCGGACGGGUGAGUAAUGCUUAGGAAUCUGCCUAUUAGUGGGGGACAACAUCUCGAAAGGGAUGCUAAUACCGCAUACGUCCUACGGGAGAAAGCAGGGGAUCUUCGGACCUUGCGCUAAUAGAUGAGCCUAAGUCGGAUUAGCUAGUUGGUGGGGUAAAGGCCUACCAAGGCGACGAUCUGUAGCGGGUCUGAGAGGAUGGGCCGCCACACUGGGACGGAGACACGGCCCAGACUCCUACGGGAGGCAGCAGUGGGGAAUAUUGGAAAAUGGGGGGAACCCUGAUCCAGCCAUGCUGCGUGUGUGAAGAAGGCCUUAUGGUUGUAAAGCACUUUAAGCGAGGAGGAGGCUACUCUAGUUAAUACCUAGGGAUAGUGGACGUUACUCGCAGAAUAAGCACCGGCUAACUCUGUGCCAGCCGCCGCGGUAA